GAUGAAGAACGUAGUGAAAUGCGAUAAGUAAUGUGAAUUGCAGAAUUCAGUGAAUCAUCGAAUCUUUGAACGCACAUUGCGCCCCUUGGUAUUCCGAGGGGCAUGCCUGUUCGAGCGUCAUUAUAACCCCUCAAGCUCAGCUUGGUGUUGGGGCCUGCCGCACGGGCAGCCCUUAAAAUCAGUGGCGGUGCCAUCUGGCUCUAAGCGUAGUAAUUCUUCUCGCUAUAGAGUUCCGGUGGAUGCUUGCCAUUAACCCCCAAUUUUCUAUGGUUGACCUCGGAUCAGGUAGGGAUACCCGCUGAACUUAAGCAUAUCAAUAAGCGGAGGA
rnacentral:misc_RNA from 1 species